AAUGAGUAGGUGUCUCCAAGCUUUUGACUGGGACUGUAUAUGGUAUGUAAUAACACUCCUGUGUUUCAGCACAAAGCGUAUAACCUGGGCCACCAGUGUGUAGUGGAGGCAUUGGUUACUAGAGGGGUGCUGUUGAACACACCAGGCAAUGAGAACUGCUCUCCUCUACUUGACGCUGUCAACACUGGGCUUCACAGAGCGUUUUGUGAGUAUGGAUAGAAUAGAGAUAUUUAUUUCUACAUUCUUUUGCACAGAAAUUCUUUGUUUACCCUCACAGGUGUAGAGGUCCUAUGUAAUUUUGCAUUCAAGUCAUUUAACAGACGCUCUUAUCCAGAGCCCCUUAAAGGAGCAAUUAGGGUAAUGUGCCUUGCUCAAGGGCACAUCAACAUAUGUUUUACCUAGUCGGCUUGGGGAUUCAAACCAGCAACCUUUCGGUUACUGGAUCCAACGCUCUAACUGCUACCCCAAGAAAAAAUACCUGUCUCUUUUCAUGCUGACUUAAUCUAAAAUCAUUCACCUGAAUUCAGCAUGAAAAGAGACUGAGGUAGUAAUAAUUUUUCUUGUAGCAUGAUGUGCACUAGAUGGAUAACUACAAUCACACAGUAGGUGACACUCAUUGGUUGUUGGAUGGUGAAGUGCUGUGACCUCAUAAUGUACAGACCAAUGGAGCGGGGCUGAUGCGUUCUGGUGUGUGUGUUGUGAGAGGACAGUCAUUAAUGGAGAGCUGGAGCAGCAAUUGCUUUCUUUUAGUCCUGUCUUUUCCCAUCCUGCUUCUCUUUUUCCAGUCUGUUCUCUCUCCUCCUUCCUUCCUGCUUCUCUUUUUCCAGUCUGUCCUGCCUUCCUUCCUGCCUUCCUUCCUUCCUUCCUUCCUUCCUUCCUUCUACCAUUCCCCCCUCUCUACUCUCUCCUCCUUCUAUCCCUUCUACGAUAUAUUUUCCCCCUCUAUCUCCCCCCCCAUAUUUCCUUUCUCUCUCCUUCCUUCUCUUUUCCCAACUCAUCACAUUGAUGUGCUGUAGUGGGUGGCGCCCGGGGCCUUGGCGACGGAGGUUAGCGACAGCAGAUUUACUCAGGUUUAUCCUACCUGCCUGCUAGUUGUCUGCAAGGCAAAAGAGACCGGUUCCCAGACAAUCUGUCAUGAUGCCACAAGACAAAUGCAACCCUUGCCCGUCACACACUAUCAAUUAAUCUAGCCUCCACACAAACGCAGGGAUGCACACAUGCUGCUGCGCGAUAACACACACACACACACACACAUACCCCCUGGCUCUCUAAGUCAGAAAUUAUUUCCCUAAAGGCUGGGUUGGAGACAGAGAACCAGUGCCAUUCCUACUGGAUUGAUUGCCACACAGAGCUGCACAGUGAGGGGACGAAGAUUUCUCUGUGGCCAUGUCCACUUUGAGAUCGUCCAUCUUGAUAGUGCCUGCCUCAACCCAGCUCUGCAUCUGCAACAUUGGACAGACUGUCUUCUUUGUUUGUGGAUUUAGAUUACUUGGAAAGUGUGUGUUUGUCACGGUUGGAGGCACAUGUCUUCUCUGUCAAUACAGAUGACAUAGUCUCUCUAGACUCGGAAAUAGUUUGGAUAUGCAAAAAAAUAUUACAUCAAAUUCACACAUUAAUACACACUUCUACAUGUGUGAAAUAGGACAAAUAAAAGCACCCACCAAAUGAUGAUUAUAGACAGACGAUAUCUGAAGCUACAGAUGACAUGCUCCCCUCCCGGCACUCCCAGACAAGGUGUUUUGGAGUGUUCACAGCUGUUCGCCUUGCUUCCCCAGCUGCACAUAGAGCUGGACACAUUCAUGCAUCUGGUGUUUCUGGUGCCUCUUCUGUCUGUCAAUGGCUUGGCUUGGAUCCUCACACAUUAUGUAUGCAUCAGGAUCAAUAAAAUUGGAUUUCAAUGGGGUAUCUACUUCAAUAUAAAACAUUUGGCAAAUUUGAGCAAAUUUUAGGACAGAACUCUUUGCACUGUGUACAGUAUGUGUGCAACUCUGAAUUGAUCGAUUAAUACAUCUAUGCAAGGCUUGGUUUCAGUGGUUACCCACACCCCUAACACCUCGAUCAGACCAACAGCGUUAUUGCAUUUUGGUACACCAGAAGUACAUUCAUUUCCAAUGGAACGCUGCGUUUGCAAUGUGUUCUGUGUGGUGCGUAGGUUGGAUUUAAUUCAAUUGUAUGAGUAACCUUGACAGAAAUAGUAGCAAAAGGUGAAUGUCGGUCUGAUCGAGGCCUUGGAGACACACAACAGCUGCCCAAAACAUUUUCCAUGCCUUUAACUUUUAUUUAGCUACUUCGUUGGUGUGCUGUUCCAUAAACCAAAACGAUGCACUUCCUUUCAGUGUGUUUGUGUGUGUGCAGGCGUUUGUAUGUGUGUGUUUGUAGGUGUGUGCCUAUCUGUAUAUAUAUGUUUGUGUGUAUCUAUCAGUGUGUAUGGGGGGUUUUGAAUCCAAAUGAAAUAUUUUAUGGACCAGUGGACCUAUUAAUUGUCCCCCAGGUGUUAUCUUUGCUGACGCCUAAUCUUUAGGCACCAACCCGUUCUGCUUCUCCCCUCUCUUCUCCUCCUUUUUCUCAUCCCUCCUUCUUCCCCUCCUCCUUCAGGAACGUGCUGUUUCACAUUGUCUUCAGUGUCUCUAUGCUGCGUUGCUGCACACUGGAUUCGCAUAGCCCGUGUGUUCUUGUAUCAUAUUGUCACCAAUGAGCGAUUUCAUGUUACCAUGAUCCAUGCCUGUGUAACCCUAAUCUCCACAUCCAGAAGAAAAUCUGUAUUUCAUGCAGGACAGCUACUAGAUGGCAAAGGGUAUGUCACAAGAGACAAGUAUAACCAUUGAUUAGUGUCAGGAUAUAGUAUUUUGUAUGGUUUGUCUGGUUUAAGUUAGACAGAGAUAGACAGUUUGUCAAACAGGAAUAUGUUUGGUCUUCGUCAUGUGGACUAUGCUGUGAACUCAGCUAAUCCUUCAGUCAGCCUCUGAAGGACCCCAACUCCCCUCUCUGUCCUCCACCCAACUUCAGUAAGGUAUGGCCAUCAUCCCAACACUGUUCUCAGAUAAAAUCAAUGUUACAUUAACGAUUUCCUGAAUGUACUAUUCCCCAAUGUACAAUACAACUAUGAACAAAGGAGUUUAAAGGAGUUGUGGUAUUGUGGGUAGUGUUUUAACUGGUCUCUGAAAAAAAAAUAUUUUUCUCAAUGGGCCUGUAUAAAUGAAGGUUCCCCCCCCAAAAAUCUAUGUAAUAUUUGAGUUGGUCUGUCUACAGUCUAUUGUGUUUCAGGCCAUUGAUGGGGUGAACAGGUGGUAGUAUUGGGCAGUAAACUGUCCCAACAUAACCAGCUGGCCAAACUGGGAAUCCCCCUGGGAGGAAAGAGGGCUGAUGCCUUCUCUUGCUCAGUCACCUAUGUGGUGGUACCAGAUGGGCCGAUGCCCACCACCCUGGUCUCUUUCCUGGGUCUCCUGAUCGGCUGCUGGGUCCUCAACUUCAGCUGUCUGCGUCCCAAAUGGCAUCCUUUUCCCUGCCUCCUACUGUGGGUUAUCCUUCCAGAACUUCAGCUUCUCCUCUUCUCUACCCCAGCGACCCCCACUGUUCGAUGGAUUUUUCUUCUACCUCAUGAGCUCCUUCAGGAAGCCCCCAGGGACGAGCUCCUCCAGGUGGUGAGAGAGGCAGGGGGCCAGAUCCUGGCCCGACAGCCUAAACCAGACAGUGACGUGACCCAGACCCGGUCUACUGCAGCCUACCAUGCCCUGAUGGGCUUGGACUAGGCCCUGUGUACCCAGUACAUGAUCUAUGAUCCCCAGAGCCCCUACAGGCCCCCCUGGGUGAAGUUAGGAAAGGUGUGGUCAACUCUGUCUACAUGGGUUGUAAAUGUAUAUCGGACUUCCAGCUACUGUCAGUGCCUGAGCCAUAGACACACCAGGUAAACACCAAACUGAGAACAAUGUACUGAAAUGUUGAGGGACUUAAAUUGUCCAAUAAGAAAUAUCAAUUUGCUAACGUUUUUGUUUGACAUUUUCUAACUUUUUCUAUUCUGUGGCCUAAUGAACAUUACACUGGACUGGUUCUGUCUGCUUGCAACCUGACAUCAGGGUCUAUUCAGAAUAAACAGACAGUUGUGAUUCUAUGUCAACUGUAACCUAGAAGUAAGGGGAUUCACUGACUGGUUGGGAAAUCUCUGGUGCCGUCAUGCCACCAUGCUUGUGGCCUCAAAUAUAGCCACCCACCACCACAAGCCAUGACUUGUUGUUUGGAAAGUUUUGGUCUGUAGCUCAAACAUAAGUUAAUUACAUCUUUCUUUGUGUUGAUGUUUUUACUUUUCAGUGUUUUGAAAGAAGGAGUAGAAAAUCUGUCCAUUUUCUUCUCCUGGGGAUCUUUUCAUAACGUCAGUGCUUUUGAGAAGACCCUUUUCUUUGAAUGUAUUUUAGAGUGAAUUGUGUUUGUGACUGCGUAUUCUGUUUUCUAUGACUUGCAAUUUUCUUUAAAGAUAAAUAAUCAAACUGUCUUUGAAAGCAGACAUUUUCAACACUGAAGUCACCUCUUCCCUCUGGACUGGUCAGAAUGAAUGGUAUGCUUCAAAAUAAACACCAUUGUUGCAGUAACAAAAUGA